CAAUCGUGAUUUUCAUCCGUUCGUAGUGCAUAAGUAACGCGAGUUUUCGUCGGAAGUAUCGAUUUAAGGGACGGACAGUCGUCGGAACAUAUCGGUUAUCACGAGUCUUCGCAAUCAAUGCCACUUCGCGGAUCGUGAUCGACGCCGCGUCACGAUGAAACGGUUAAAAAUUUCUGACGGUACAGAUUCCAGUACCUAUGGCGCGCGAAAAUAGUCCUUAUGCAGCUUGUUUGGAAGUCCAUUGAUAUAUUUUUUGGAUAUGUCGAAUACUUGUUAGUGUCUAUAUCGCGCGUACUGUCUACUGCCCAUAUGAAAAUUCCAUCGCUAGGCAUCGUUACGAUUACGACAUUUACGACAUAUCAAUUAACGCGAUGUGCAAGAAUUUCGUCAAGUAAACUUCGUACGAUCGUAUUAUUUGGUGCGAUGAAAUUCUUCACGAAUUAAUAUUCGUGUUGAUCAUCAACAGAAGCCAUUAAAAGCUGUGAUUAUAUGAACGACUUAUUAUUAAAAUCAUUCUAUUAUCCGAUAAAAAAUUUUAUCUCAUAAUUGGACAUUGACUGAAAAAUGCACCGACCGGACGAAUUGGUGGUCUAACCUGUUACGAAAUUCGUUUGACCGUCCACUAACGCCCUCUCAGUGAACAUGUGACGAACUGAUUGCCUGGGUUUGAAAACAAGGAGGUUGCUGCAAGAUAGUUUAUAUUUAUACGAAAAAAAGACAUAAAAAUUUAACAAAAAUGUCUAAAUCUAAUACGGAAUUUAACAAUGCAUGUAAACAAGAAAUAAUAAAAUA